ACUCCUACGGGAGGCAGCAGUGGGGAAUAUUGCACAAUGGGCGCAAGCCUGAUGCAGCCAUGCCGCGUGUAUGAAGAAGGCCUUCGGGUUGUAAAGUACUUUCAGCAGUGAGGAAGGUGAUAUGUUAUAGUACAUAUUCAUUUGAUCGUUUAGCUUGCAGAAGAAGACACCGCGUAACUCCGUGCCAGCAGCCGCGGUAAUACGGAGGGUGCGAGCGUUAAUCGGAAUUACUGGGCGUAAAGCGCAUGCAGGUGGUUUGUUAAGUCAGAUGUGAAAGCCCGGGGCUCAACCUCGGAAUUGCAUUUGAAACUGGCAAACUAGAGUACUGUAGAGGGGGGUAGAAUUUCAGGUGUAGCGGUGAAAUGCGUAGAGAUCUGAAGGAAUACCGGUGGCGAAGGCGGCCCCCUGGACAGAUACUGACACUCAGAUGCGAAAGCGUGGGGAGCAAACAGGAUUAGAUACCCUGGUAGCUACGAGU
rnacentral:rRNA from 1 species